UGUUUCGGCUAGGGGGCCAUCCCGGCUUACCAACCCGAUGCAAACUGCGAAUACCGGAGAAUGUUAUCACGGGAGACACACGGCGGGUGCUAACGUCCGUCGUGAAGAGGGAAACAACCCAGACCGCCAGCUAAGGUCCCAAAGUCAUGGUUAAGUGGGAAACGAUGUGGGAAGGCCCAGACAGCCAGGAUGUUGGCUUAGAAGCAGCCAUCAUUUAAAGAAAGCGUAAUAGCUCACUGGUCGAGUCGGCCUGCGCGGAAGAUGUAACGGGGCUAAACCAUGCACCGAAGCUGCGGCAGCGACACUGUGUGUUGUUGGGUAGGGGAGCGUUCUGUAAGCCUGCGAAGGUGUCCCGU
rnacentral:rRNA from 1 species